CGCUAGGCAAAGACUGCAGCUACCCGCUCGGGGCCCUGAGGCCAGGAGCCAAUCUCCUUCCCUUUUCUGGGGGCUGAGCACACAUCUCCCGGCCAGCAGAGUACAUCAUCUUGUCCUGACUGGCUGUCAGACACUGGGGUUGUUACCAACACAAAGAGAAGACAGAAGGAAGGAAAAUGGCCAGUCAUGGAGACAGGACAAACGGAGUCACAGGGUCGACACUGACAGCUCCAAGCCCAGAACUACCUGGAGAGAGGAGCUCCAACCAGGCACCAUGAGUUCCCUCAGUGCACUCCCGACAAGGUCUGGUGCCAAGCUAUUCCUGUGCUGACUCCUGGUGUGCCCAUCCUGCCAACCCCAUGAAGGCAAGACCGUCUCCUGCCCUGCUGCACCACCCGCGCAUGCCACUGGCCCUGAUAUAGGAGAGAUGCAGGUUUCUUCAGACAUCAGCUCUCCCAGAGGCCUCCCAACACCCACAAAAUAGGCUCGCUCUUCUGAAUCUGCAGAACAUGCUGCCAAUCUCUGUACCACUGAGCAGGCGUGAAAACAGGGCGACAUCCCCUUCUCCACAAGUUGCCAGCUCCAGGGACAAGAGCCUCUGGGAAGGGUGAGCACAAUGCUCACAUGCAGCAGGCACCUGUGUCACUCCUGGAUGGCUAAUCGGACAGAGGCUCUAACAACUUCCUCUGUGAGAGGGUCCCCAGUGUCCAGAGAGAAAGGCCUCCUGCUCCUUGGGACCCAGCUGCACUCUACACAGAGGAGUCUCGACUGGGCCCAGUACUCAGGGCCUCUGCCUCCUCUCUAGGCUGUUGACAUUGAGCCUUCCAGGACUCAGCCCCAGACAAGGCCUCCCUCACCUCGCACAGGCCCCUAACAUCGGGAAAAGAGGCCAGCUCAAGAUACAGACGUAAGGGGCUGUGGCUGUGGCUCAGUGGUGGAGUGCUGGCCUAGCACGUGUAAGGCACUGGGUUCAAU